GUAGUUUGCCAUGGCAAAGCCGAAGAAUUUUUAAAAAUAUCUAUAUCCACACACACACUUUUUUUAUGGAAUUUUCCUUGGCCCAAGCAAUCUGGUAUAUAUAUAUAUUACACAGUACGUGUUGAGAAAUUUGCAAACUGUGCAGCUAGAUACACUUAAUAAUAUCUUUUGUGUGCACAAGUACAAGUAUGCACGAAACGUGGCCACACAAGAAUCCCAGCCCGGCCUGUAAUACGAGACAGUGCAAAAGGCAAAUCCUCAGACGGGAACUGGCAUUGCCCACUGUCUGAUCAAGUGUCUCUACUCUUUUCUUUCCAAGCAGGAUGUCCUUAUGUAAACAACAGCCCUUGAGUGCGUUCAGCUAUGUAUCUCACGGAUGCAGCUGUGCCACACGGCCCCGGACUGAUGAUCGGUUCGCUCUGCCAGAAUGCGGGCCAUCUAGGCAAACAGAGAGCACAGCCAGAGAGAGAGAGAAAGAGAGUCGAGCCAGUAUUCCCUCGGAACAUAAAUAUACGACAGCAAAAAAUUUAUAGAUAUUUUCCAGUUUUAUGUGCGGUUGAGCACAAGUACUCAAAAGUAUUCGUCUGAGUACACACACAUGAGUGCUGCCUCUGUGUGUGUGUGUGCGUGCGACAUAUCUGGGCCCUACUAUUCAUGACACUAUCAAUCUUACAUCAGAGAGUAAAAAUAAACAUAUACAAUUAAUAAA